GACGAACGCUGGCGGCGUGCCUAAUACAUGCAAGUCGAACGCUUCUUUCCUCCCGAGUGCUUGCACUCAAUUGGAAAGAGGAGUGGCGGACGGGUGAGUAACACGUGGGUAACCUACCCAUCAGAGGGGGAUAACACUUGGAAACAGGUGCUAAUACCGCAUAACAGUUUAUGCCGCAUGGCAUAAGAGUGAAAGGCGCUUUCGGGUGUCGCUGAUGGAUGGACCCGCGGUGCAUUAGCUAGUUGGUGAGGUAACGGCUCACCAAGGCCACGAUGCAUAGCCGACCUGAGAGGGGGAUAGGCCACACUGGGACUGAGACACGGCCCAGACUCCUACGGGAGGCAGCAGUAGGGAAUCUUCGGCAAUGGACGAAAGUCUGACCGAGCAACGCGGCGUGAGUGAAGAAGGUUUUCGGAUCGUAAAACUCUGUUGUUAGAGAAGAACAAGGACGUUAGUAACUGAACGUCCCCUGACGGUAUCUAACCAGAAAGCCACGGCUAACUACGU
rnacentral:rRNA from 1 species